UACAGGGGGGGCAAGCGUUGUUCGGAAUUACUGGGCGUAAAGGGUUCGUAGGUGGCUCACUAAGUCACACGUGAAAUCCCUCAGCUUAACUGGGGAACUGCGUGUGAAACUGGGGGACUUGAGUGCAGGAGAGAAGAGUGGAAUUCCACGUGUAGCGGUGAAAUGCGUAGAGAUGUGGAGGAACACCAGUGGCGAAGGCGACUCUUUGGCCUGUAACUGACGCUGAGGCGCGAAAGCGUGGGGAGCAAACAGG
rnacentral:rRNA from 1 species